rnacentral:rRNA from 1 species
GGGGAAUUUUGGACAAUGGGGGAAACCCUGAUCCAGCCAUGCCGCGUGCAGGAUGAAGGCCUUCGGGUUGUAAACUGCUUUUGUACGGAACGAAAGGCUCUGCCCUAAUACGGCGGAGAUAUGACGGUACCGUAAGAAUAAGCACCGGCUAACUACGUGCCAGCAGCCGCGGUAAUACGUAGGGUGCAAGCGUUAAUCGGAAUUACUGGGCGUAAAGCGUGCGCAGGCGGUUAUAUAAGUCAGAUGUGAAAUCCCCGGGCUCAACCUGGGAACUGCAUUUGAGAC